UACGAAGGGGGCUAGCGUAGUUCGGACUUACUGGGCGUAAAGCGCGCGAAGGCGGUUUUGCAAGCCAGAGGUGAAAUGCCUGAGCUCAACUUAGGAAUUGCCUUUGGGACUGUGAGACUUCGAGGACUGGAGAGGGGAGUGGAAUUCCCAGGGUAGAGGUGAAAUUCGUAGAUAUUGGGAAGAACACCGGUGGCGAAGGCGGCUCACUGGCCAGUUUCUGACGCUGUAGCGCGAAAGCGUGGGGAUCAAACAGG
rnacentral:rRNA from 1 species